UAAUUUACAUCAGUGAAGAAAUGAUUGGGAAGUCACUUUCAAAAUUAGUUUAUUCCUGUAUCUUCUCUAUGAGAAUCUUAAUAGUGCUUGAACAUCUUGAUGAUGCUUCAUCUUUUCUACCAUAAAAAUGAAGAUCUAAGGGCAAUGACCAAUGCCACUGAUUGGGCUCACUGACAAGGGGGCUCUCCCAGUUUCAGUGAAGUCUAUGAGGAGACCACCAGCAGCUGUGCCAGUCAGUGUCAUCAAAGAGACCUCAGACUGGCUCUGAAGGCUUGUCAUCCGCAGGAGGCAGAAUCAGAUUGGCAAGACUUCUCUGGAGACUGCUGGUUUCAUUUCCUACUUCCACAUAUGGAGAAACAGCACCUUGAGGCCAAGGAUAAGAAGGUUUCCUUCAGGUGUUUCUUGGAGUAUGGAUCUGAAAAGUUUUCAGUGAGCCACCAGUGGUAGACAGAGACCUGUCUGAAGGAGGCAAGGGAGAUCACUGACUGAUUCCACAGGUCAAUGAGCAUACGAUCAGUAUUCCUGAAUGGAGGUGCUGUCAUCAUUCAGAGCAUUGGAAGGGUCUCCUGCAAAGGAAAUAGGGUAACGUUUUAGAUAAUAAAAGCCAUUAAAUAUAGAGAGGCCUUAGCCAUCGGUUUUCAUUUUGCAUACCAACUUCUUUGGUGCAAGUGUUCAGGUCAGGGUCAGCUGACAUACAGGGAUUUUCAUAUCUAGAUUUGAAUGUGCAAAAAAAGAAAAAAAAAAAAAAAAGAGAGAAAUAAGAGGCCUUCCCUGAACCACUUAAGCUAUAGUAGAAUUUUUUUCAAAGUUAGGAAAAGGCUGUGAUUACAAUAUAAGAGUUUAUUGCUCACUUUUUACUUUGUACACACCAGCCACAGAUACGUGUUGAAUUUCUUGUGAAACUAGCGGACUGCAACAUAUUUGUUAUUGUUGUUAGCCAUUUUAUUACGUUAAAGGGAAAAGGGAAGUAAACCUGAACUGAGUGGACUUGUCAGCACUGCCAGUGUAUUUCUGUGUGGAUUCUGUGUGAAAACGGACAAGGAAAUUCUGAGAAUAAAGAAGUCUGACAAGCCCAGGAAACAUUUUACCUCAUUGCUCUUCCUCUUUUUUUAAAAAAAAAUCUGCUUGGUUUCCCUUGUUUUGGUAAAAAUAAUAAAAUGAGCAAAUGUAUCAAGUUGAAUGAAGGAAUGACUAUAGUCACACUCUUCCUGAGCCCCUCCCCCCCCCUCCGCCCCUUUUCCACUUGUUUGAUGCUACAUUCUCUUUAGAUGAAAUACUGAAGUAUUAUGAUGGAUACUAAAUUUUCCCUUUGAACAAGAGGUAAUUCCCCAGCAUGUUGGAAGCUUUUGCUUCUUUUGCUUUAAUCCUUAAGAGAGCUGACACCCUUAUGCAGCAUACUAACCACGCUGGCCCUAGGACUAUAUUUUUGUUCAUGCCUUCAUUCAGCAUCUUCUCAACUAUCUAAUGUAAAGAGGAGUCCAUCUUUCUGCUGCUCUAUCUGGAAAAAACUUUAAGCUCUGUAUUUCCCCUGCAUGUUAGAUUUAGUGUCCAUUGCUACAAAGGCAGUAAAAGGAGAGACAGCUAGUGUCUUUUUUGGAGAUGUGGUUGAACUCGGUCACACUGCCUAAUCAACUCAAAAGGUCUGCAUAGGUUUCUUCUCUUGUGAGCUGUGAGACUCCAGAAGUUUUCCUCAAAAUAGGAGGCAGUAUGAGUCAAACGUAUUUUUCAAAUGUCAGUUCAGCAAGUUGCGUAACCAUGAAAACCAUACAAAUGGGUUUCAAUUUUCUGCAGAAUAACUCACACACAUACACACACAACUAUAUGAUUACAUCAUGACACAAAAUCCUGAAAUGUUUAGGUCUGUUCACAACUCUUGUAUUUUCUAUUGUAUAAGACAAAGAAAGCAUUUAAAAAAAAAAAAAAAAAAGUAAGCAAAUACUGCAAAAGGUGCACUGGAAUACAAAAUAUCCCUUCAUUGCUAAUAAUCCAAAGUACUAUGGCUACUUAACAUAGGUAGCAAAUUUUGUUAUUGAUUUUUGAGAUAGUCUACUGGAACUGAUCUUUUAGAGUAGAGGAGGAGAUGAGACUUUCAAUUUAAGGGAAUUAAGAGAAACUUUUAAGAAAAGAAAUCCAGAAUCAAAAGAUAUUGUGAAUGUAUCUCAAUAGUAGUAGCUAAACUCCAAAAUAAAUGGCUAAUGAUGUGGCAUAUGAUAAAAAUGCAAAUACUGAUCCUUCUGAUUAAGGAAGGUUUUAGAAGUAUAUUUAUACAUGUAAGAUCUUUCUAUCUUUUAAAUAAAAGACUAGUUCCUUUUUCACAGGAGAUUUGUCAAUACACUCAGAAGUUAUCUUGGGUUUAAAAAAAAGAUUAACAGACCUACUGAUACUUAGUAUUUUUAUAUACUACAUACCAGCUAUAGACAUAGCCUUCAGCAUUAGAGUAAAAAUAUCUAUGAGCUGUCUUCCUUCCUCCAUGUCCCUCCCAGAAAAACAUUAUUACUCAGAAAUUUUAACAAGUGAGAAGAGGAUAAGGAACUGUUUGAACAUUUUAAUUUUCAAGUAAUUGAUAACUUUUUUAAUUAAAAUAUUUCUGAAAUUUCACCUGAGCAUUUAGUAUGUACAGAGUGCAGUUGAUACUGUGCUGUGCUGUGGUGUCUUGCAAAAGGAAAAAAAAUGCAUCUGUGUUUUGUAAAUACAUUUUUAGUGCCUGGAAUAUUCUCUUGCACAAAUAGUUUUGUGUCAUGCCAUGUGUUGACACCUUUCAAAUCUUGCUUGAAGUAGUUUAUAGCUUUGUCCAAAUUGGGUUAUUCACACGUGAUUUAUAUGAUGACCCAUUACUCUCUGUAUAUACAGGACUGUGUAACAAUUUUUAGGUUUAGCACCGCCGUAUAAAGCAUCAAGCUUAUUAUGCCCAAAAGAAUUAAAUUAUGCUGAGGCAAUCUGGUUAGUUGUGUCCAAAGGAAGACACAACCAUAAUAAGCUAAAAGCUUGAAGUGAACAAUGCUAACAGUAAUACAUUGUAAUCAAAGAAAAAUAUUUGCUUAAUUAUUUUCAUUAAAUCUAUUUUCCCUCUUAUUUAGUCCAUUUGCUGUUCUUGUAAAAAUCUUAUUUGACUUCCAGAUGAUCCAAAGCAUGAAGGUUGAUUGAGCUUUCCAACUUUAUUUCACUGUUUAUAUACACAAUGCACAAUCUUGUGUUCACAACCUGUAUCAGAAAUUCUGGUUUUGUUGGAUUUCUUUCAAAAUGUUAAAUUAUAGGCAUCUUAAUUUAAAUUUUCUUGAAACAUCCAGGUCUGGGUAUGAACUGUGAUACAAAAAUUAAAUAGCACCUACUCAUUUCAGUCUGGCAAUCUUAAACCAGUCAUGAAUGGAAGCUGGUUGAUAUUUCAUUAGUGGUUUUUUUAGUUGAAGCAAAUGGACACCCAGGUGCCUCAUGAUGGCCUGCUAAACACCAAAGAAGAAAGAAGGCUCCUGAGGCAGUGAUGCAAUAUGCCAAGCAAAUCAACAGAUUCCUGCAGAAGCAAGUUGUUCAAAAUGAGCACCUUGCCUUCACACGGCAGUAGUGCAGUGAUGUCUCAUGGGCAGCCUUCACAGCAUAGCAAAAUACAAUUUGAUAAGCAUUUUCAUCUCAGCACAGUUUCGCAUAUUUAUUCCUGCAUAAGUCUUAAUUCCUCUUAAGAGGAAUGAUCCUAUCAACAUAAAGGGGUCAUAAGGAUUGCUGCAUGAUCAGAUUAACAUCUCUUCUACUUCCCUGCCUCCAAGCUUUAGAUCAGUUCUGCCUGAUUUUGGAAACAGUUUGUGUGCUGUUUCCAGGCUACUCUUCCCAUUUUAUUGUCAUGAUACAAUAUAUAUUUAUUACUGUUUAUUGCUUUAUUUGUUUAUAUUAAUAUUUAUUGGCCCAUUCCUACCAUAUGACCUGCCUCUGAGAAUGACAUAUCAGCACUGUAUUUUAGGAUUUUUCUAUCCUUCAUUUUUGUAACUUUCUUUGUAACUAGCUAGUUGUGCCAUACAUAUAACAUGGAUUUACACUGAUAAUAAUAGUAAUAAUAAUCUCUUUCCUUCUUCACAAACUGAGGUGAAUGCGCACUUUUUAAUAACAGGGCUGUUCACAGUAUGCAUGCUGAAAUCUCAGAGCAAUUGGAGUUUACCUUAAGACUAAAGCUAUAUGGGUUUAUGAAUCUUAGCCCACUUCUAUAGAAGUUUUUAAAUGCUUUGUAUGGUGGUUGAUAGGGUAGGUGUGGAUUUCAUGUUGUGGUUGCCCUCCGAAGUUGCUUACGACAGCCCAUAAAUCCCAUGCUUUCUCACUGCUUCUGUUCAGCUUGAAACACCUAAUUCCUGGAGAUCCUGUGGGGAGAACUGAGAGGGGAGGUUGGCUUUGUUUCCUUCCAAGGUGAAAAUACGGAAUGAAAGCAAAUAGGCAUGACUUAGGGUUUUGCUUAGUCAGGAUUUGUGCAGUAUGCCUAUGGUUCAAGAAGUAUUUAUUAGUUCUUUAAAUUAGUGUUAUUAUUAUUAUCCAUAUGCUUGCUUGCAGCAUAACCACUUAAUAGCAACAGUUCCUUAGAAAUAACAUUUCCCUGGGAACUCCUCUCCUGAUUUGCAUAACAAUAGCUCUUCAGGAGCAGUUUGGCAACUGGAUAUCAAUAUAUUGCUACUGGGUUUUGGUUUUUUUAUUACCUAUGUUGUGUAUUAAUUGUGUUAUUUGUAUUUGUAAUAUGGUAUGUUAAGGAAUGUUAGGUAUUCCACAUUUGUUAGAUUUCAGGCAGGUUGUUUGGUUUAAUUCUGACUUUUCAAAACUCAACAGGAUAAUUCAAAUUUAUUUAUUAAUUAUUAUGCAGAAUGUAAGCUGAUGCCUAUUUAUUUCAGCCUGAUAGCUUCAAAUGAAAUAGAUAACACAUAGAAAGUGUGCCUGAGAGUCCAUUCAAAAUCUGAGCCUGAAUAGUGUUGGAUUCAUUGUGCAUAGUACUUUAUAAACCCAUAGCAAAAAGAAAAUUUGUAUACAUUUUGAGUAGAGCUGGAUCCAAGUAGUUUAUUUAUUGUGUAUGUGAGAUUCACUUAUUUCAGCAAAUCCGCUGAGCGCUAAUCCUGACUUUAUUUCAACUGACACUGGAGGGAAAAAAAAAGUUUGCAGUGCUUUUUAAAGUGUUUACUCCAAAGGCUGGAAAACUUAACUGAUGCCUUAAUGAAGAAAUUGUCUUUUGGAAAAGAUACUUGGAGAUAAGGAAGUGCUCAUUUUUCUAACAAGUAUGAAUUAUUGCUGUUUCAGUUCAAUCUAAGUCAAUGAUUUUUCUGAUUAUCGCUCACUUUCUUUUUCCCCCUCUAGAAAAAAAUAAUCAGUCUGCAUUAUAAUAGGUCUCAACUUGCACACUACACCUGUAAUUUUCCAUUGUGUGAGAGUCACAGUAAGUAAAACUGCAUGUAAGCAUUGACAUAAGAACUAUUAAAAAAUAAAAGCAUUUAAUUACACCUAAUACCACUUUCCAUAUAUUUAAGUUAGACACCUUAAGCAUUCAUUCUUGAAGAAUACGGUUUAAUUUCAUUAAGAAAGCAAUUAAAGAGGAUAUGUCUACUCUUGGAUGUUUUGCUUGUUUUGCUCUUGUUGCUUUUUUCCCUAUGCCUUCAAAAUAACCAAAGUUGUGUGUGAUUUCAUGAAUCUGUCUUUGUGCAGUGUACAGCUUCAGAAGAAACAAAACACAUUUUGAUGCAAGGCGGUGGAGAUACUUUCAAUUACUAAUAUGUUUAGCUUUGUAUUUCUGCCUGCCUCUUGAACAGCUAGGAGUUCAAUAAAAGAAAGCAACAAAGGAAGAAUUAAAAAAGUGAGUAAGAAAGGUAAAAUAAUAUUACUGGUACAAUCUCCCCAUACCUAUUCAAGGUUAUAGAGAAAUAUGCUUGCACAUUGGGUAUAUUGGGAUAAGAAUGCUUGGGAGGAAUACAGCAUUAAACAGUGAUCCUUGGAUCAGGGGAAGCCCAAAAUCUCAAGAAUCAAACAGGAGGAAGUUUGAAAAGAAAGAAGAAGCUGUCAAAAAUGUGCCGUUGAUAUCUCUUCAAAACAACAAGGUGGGUUUUUGUUUGUUUUCUUUUCAGUGAUGAGAUUAACUUACAAAGAGGAUUUAUUGAUUUAUUACUUUUCCUAAAGGCUUUUUACCUCACAAAAAGUAAUACAACUUAGUCUGUUUCUAAAGACCUCUGUCAGCACAAACAUGCUGUGACAAGUUCCCCCAAGAAAAGUCCUGUAGGGUCCAAAUCCCAGCUGAAAUUCCUGAGUGAGCCAUGCUGAAUGUUUGAGACUGUUACCUGAUUGCUGGUUGGAGUGACUGGAUUGCAGAAUACUGAUUUGAAAGGUACAAAAGCCUGAGGAUCUGUACAUCUGGCAGUACAGGUGGCUGCUCAUCAAACCAAAGAGCACUACUAUGUUUUUUUUCUGAAUCCUAUCACUCCUUAGAAAAGUGUGAUGAACUUUCAUCAUUGAUUAGCUUCUGUUAACUCUAUAUUCAGUAGUCUCUCUUCCUGAAUCGCAUUUAGGCUACCGAGCUGCCAUAGUUUGUUACUGAUCCUGCAGUUAGCUAUCCCAGUGCACAGCACACACUGACUUUCCUUCCUAUUGGUAUUUCUUCUUCCAGUGUAAACUGGAGUAUAGGAAAUAAGGGAAAAGGAAGAGAAAAGAUUAGAUUCAAUUGCAGCUCACCUCAUCCUGCCGUAGGAUGCAGCCAGCAUCCACCUCAACCCAGGCUCAGGGAUCAACAGCACCUGCAGUUUGGAUGAACCAUUAAUUUCAACAGAAGCCCUUGCAAAACAGCAUGCUGCUCAGAGUUGAUGAGGAGAGCUACUUCUUCUGUUAAAUUGGAGUGAUUUCUGGGAUUAAGAUAGGCUGGAUAUUAGAUAAGCCACACGGAAGCCAUAGUUUUCUAGAAAUCAAUAUGUUUUUACUUCCUAUAUCACCAUUGCAAUGGUUUCAGUUACAAGAGAAGACAGGAAUAGUGUCACCAGCUUGCUGUCCUGAUUAUUUCUUGAACAACAAGCUUGAAAAGGACUGAUUUGUUUCCAUCUGUGUGGCUCUCUGCAUCUGUUAAGCUAAAUAGAUUGAAGGGAUUGGAAAUAUUACCAGACUAAACACUGUGAUUUCUGUGCUUUUUAUAGAUGGAAAUGACCCAGCUACUAAAAAAUGAUGUUUUAUUUCAUAAAGAAGACAUAGGCCCCCUUUCCUUUAGGUACUGGAAGGCUCCAGAAUGUGUCCCCAGAGCCUUCUUUUCUCCAGGCUGAACAUCCCCAAAUCUGCCAGCCUGUCUCCACAGGAGAGAUGCUCCAUCCCUCUGAUCAUCUUCAUGGUCCUCCUCUGUUAUUCUGUAAGUUAUGUCAUUCUUAUAAAUUACUUCUGAAAACAUGUAAUAGCUCUGCUGUUUGGAUGCAUGCAAAUAUAGUAUCAGUGUGAUAGAGGAUCAAUUAAAUGAGCACAGUAUUAUCGGACAUUACCAAUAUUGACUGUUCUUACAUCAUGUGAAUUCCAAGGAACUCCAUUAAAUGCCUAGCAUUAACAAAAGGAAUUCAACAGCAAGAAGGAUACCAUAUUCUGUCCUUUCCCUCACCCAUGACAUGCCGUGGCUUAAACCAGAACAAUUUGUUUAUUUGUAGAAAAUUCUGCUUUAAGUCUGCAUAUAGCUUGAUGUUAGAAAUUAGUGGUUUUCUGACUGUAUAUUAGGCAGAUAUAAAUAUUUGUAGGAUAGUUUGAUGCAUCUAUAUACAUAUCUGUCUCAUGCAGCUUGCACUGCUUAGGGACUGCAGUUGUAAUAGAAUUGGAGAGGAUCAUGGUAGGUUGUUCUAGGCAUCACAAGCCUAAGCAUAGAUAGCAUCAUCACCAAGCUUCAUGUCAUUAAUCAUGUUAUGAUAGCAACUAUUCAGCUGCUUAUGUGUAGACUGUACAUAGAUGCUGAAGAAACAAACUCAGCAAAGUCAGAGCAUGGAUAACCAUAGCAGAAAUAUUAUGGCACAAACAUACCUGAAAUGUUUGUACUUAAUGUUUUUUUUCAUCUAAUAAAAGCAGUUCAGGUGACCCACACCCAUGAUUUUAAGGUAAGUAUAUUUCCAGCCAUCAGGAAUGCUAACAUUUUAGGCCAAAAAUCCUAAACUGGCAGUUUUCUUUGUUCUGCUCUGCCUACGACAGGAAAACUUGAGAUGAAGGGCAAAAAAACCACUGAACUGUGUUUCUUCCAUCUGUGUAGCUACAAAGGGAAGGAAAACAAGGGGAAAACGCACAAGGUAACUACCAGGUUCUGCCCUGAUCAAGAUAACUGCCUCAUUGUGUCCAUUACAAAUGUUGUUGUGACUUUAGUUCAAGCUUUGGCCUUAAACAAUAAAGACCAUGAAAUACCUAUUUGCUACAUAUUGAGAAUGUUAUGGGAAUGACCUAAGUAUUUUAUACAAGGGUGGCAAUACAUCUUGAACAAACAUUAUCUAGCCAUAACAUUCUGGAACAUGGACUGCUGAAACAAUUGUGCCCGGGGAGAGGUUCCUACAGGAAGACUAAUAUCCCAAAGUAAAUCUUUUUUUCAGGUCUCCUUUUAGAAAGGCUUUCUUUUUUCAGUUUACUGCAGAAGGACUGUGUGGUGGGGGAGGUGGAGGUUUCCCCGUGUAUGCCCUUCCCUGAGGGCUUCACUGAAGAAGAAUUAUUGUAAAUUGACCAAAUUUACAUAGUGGAGCUAAAAGGCCAGCAGGAGACUCUAUGGGAACAAGCUGAAUGUUACUCCCAUAUCUUUCCCUUCCUUUGUCCAUUUUUUUGGACUGGCUGAUCCUAGGACAUGGACAUAAAAGGCAACUUCUACCUAUGAAAUUAAGUAGAGCCUAGAUGUUGGCAAUGACCCAUAUAUAGCAGCUCAGACAUACACACACUCUUAAAUUUGAAGAAUUCCUUGUAUGGCUCUCUGCCACUGUAACUACUUCCAUGGAAAACUCUAAGAAAUGUAUUUUUAAUGUAACAAUAUAUUAAUCGCUAGAUUUGACAGUGACUUUCCUAAAUGAACUAUUAGGAAAUAAUAGCUUCCAUGGCUCUGUGAGCUACUAGUGGAACGCUGUCAUUUUCUCUUUUGUCUUUUCAGGGUUUUUUUAUGUCUUCUUUUUGGUUACAAGUUUCUCCUCAGCCAUUGCCAGUUUUCUUUUCAAUAAACACCUAUUUUAACUAUUGACUUAUUGCUAUUUCCAGAUUUCCUUAUCUUUGUGCUUAUUCUCUUUCCUUUUCAUCAUUUUUAUCUUCCUGUUCAAUUCUGGUUGCAUUUCUAGGAAUGCACUGCAUGAAUCCCACUUUUAGAGAGUAAGACUUUAAAAGGUCUGUGACUGACAAAAUGCUACAAGAAUUUUUUGUUAUUAAACAUCUCAAGAUUGUAUAGAGAUGCUUAAUUAAUUUUAGCAGAUAACAAAUGCAUGAUUGCACCAAAAACAACAUGGUGUUUUCUUAUUACUUGGCAUGAACAAGACUAUUUGCCAUAUUUUCUGAUCUGAUGAAAUUAGGGAACUGGAUGAAACAAACUCAUUGCACAUUAUUACAACUAUUUAUAAUUUUAGUAGGGAUAGUAGGAAUGUUUGAUAGUAAACAGAAAAAAUAAAAUGUAACAGAGUUGUUGCAUUUCAUUCAAUAACAUAACUUCAAUAACUGAAGUAACCUUCAGCUGCAACUCCUGAUUCUUUGAGGGUGGAGGUAGUAACAAGAUCAUAAAUUAGUUCUUUCAUCUUUGGAAACAUGCUUAAAACAAAUCACACCAGUCUUGAUGAAUUAUACACACCACAGGCCAUGGUAAGCCAAGCCUGAAGGUCAGCUGAAAGGUUCAGAUAGAAUAACUCACAGUUAUUUGUUUCUUUCUUAACAUAGAUGAGACCAUCUCACCCAAUUUCUGUGCUUAUUUUUUGGUUUCUUUCCAAAUGCCACUCUACAUCAAAAUAUUGUUAUGUGUUCCUUGAAAGGAUUUUCAACUACUUUUGAAGGACAAUCUAUCAUGCUACUCAAUACUAGAGAAACCUCAUCUUUAAUUUUGUAAUCUGAAAGAGCCCAGAUCCAAACUUUUCAAGUGUUGAAUCAGGGAAUUCUUAUAAGAGAAAACCUGGAUGAAAAAAUCAUGCUUGCUGGAGUCUUUCUGCCUCUAGGACAUGUCUUUUAGUAAGCCCUCCUUAUGAAAGAAACUGCAAACUGUCUCUCAAUAUAUGCCUUCAGAAAUAAACCAGCAAUAUUUUAUACCUCUGAAAUGAGCAACUUUUAAUCUCAGGCAGAUAGACCAGAUAGCAGUUCCAUUGACUAUUUAGGAGAAAUGAUAAACUUCUAAAUCUUCAUGGUAUCUUGGUGAUGCAAUCUAUUGUAGCUAUAGAGAUGCAGUAAGAAUAUUUAUCUGAAAACACUGAAGAAACAGUUCUGAACACUAUUGUGCUGAGAUCAUUGGAAUUGCUAAGAGCACUAACAGUCAUAAAAACUGGCACCGUGCAGGUUUGAAGCUGUUUUUAUCUACUGUUUUCUAGAAGAUUAAAGACAUGCACUGAAAAUAAGCACUUCUUUUUGAAAGAUCUUUUAUUACAAAGAAUGUCCAUGAUAGCUUUUUUCCACUCCAAUAUUUUAUUUAUCAGGGAUUUUACAAUGUUACAUAUGUAAUAUAGAAUACAAAUUAUAAAUAAGGCAACUUCUCUUAGAAGAAACAUAAGAACAGCUUUUUUCUUUGGAUAGAUAGAUUUCUAAUCGAGUAUCUUCAAUGAUACUAGUGUAAACAGAAAAAUAAAGAACAUUCUGAACUGCAAAAGGACACUCUAGACAUUGGCGUGUUUUUUUGUAUGUCGAUAAUAUACAAACAUUUCAGAGACAGCUUCUGCAUAGCUGAGAUUGUUAAACCCUUACUUUUCAGACAGCACCUGAGGCUCUACAUUGAAGCUGACGCUACAUAGCUAGUUGUGAAAAUUAACAGGUAAGUACCAUAAUUGAGGAGCUAAACAUUUGUCUUGCAUGCAGGGCACAUUGAUUAGAAGGUUUUCAGAAGACUCAUUACCAGCAAGUGUUAAUAUUUACUCUGUGGGCCAGACUGAAUUUGGAGAACUGGAGAUAAUGGGACUAUAAAGAUGAUAUGUAGCUAGCAACAGUUGUGGCUUGCUUAGAGAUACAUGUAAACACAGUCCGCUUAGGACACUUAACAGGAUAAAUGUGGAAAAAAAGAAAGGAUAAGGCAAACAAUAUGUCAAAUGUUUUGUGGGCAGUUUUCAGUACAUGCAUGUUCUCCUAUACUGCUCAGAAGAAAUAACAUGCCAUGACUAUUAUUUGUAGAAUAAAAGUGUUCUAGUGUUUCCCGUAGCAAAGAUACCUACUCCUGUUACCAUUUCUCAAGUGUUGUUGUUUGCUCUAUGUAAUGUGGUAUCUCUCCGGAUUCAUGCUGGCUUUAAUGCUCCAGAGACAGUUGUUUCCCUGCUUUCCUGCCCUAACAGACUUACUGUCCUCUCUCCUCUCUACAUACACUUCCUCAGGUGCCUCAGUCACAGCUGAAAUCAAAGAAAACUUACUGUUAGAAUGACGGAAAGUUGUAGUCACUCUGGAUGGGAAAAGAUGUUACAGGUCUAAAUUACAAAACCUAAAAAAAUUACAAUUGCUCAUUGAGAAACAGUCUGUAGCAGUAAGCCCUGGGCAGGUUACCCGGGCAGGCUGUAGCCUCCUUGUGACAGAAGGCUGUAAAUGAUGGGUAAGGACAAUUAGUCAUCAGGUAUGAUGCAGGUACAGCUCACUAUACUUGUAAGAACUAUGGACUCAGUAAACGACUGCGUUUUGUGUCAUGUCAAUGAAAAUAGUUUGAAUGGAACUAACACAUAGCACAUUUUUGUUCUCAAGCAGACUAUUUCCUGAGUAAGCAUUAAAAUAAUGAGUUUGGGCUUUCUUGUUUGUUUGUUCUUGUUUAUUAUUAAUUACACAUUAUGUUCAUGGAAAUCCCUGUGUAAUUAUACAGGUUUUGUAUCGGUUUUAGCCUUGGCCUUUGGCAUUCAGACAUCUGUGUAUAUAUUUGCUGUCUUUUCAUAUUCUUCUCUGUGUCUACCUCCUAGAUUUGAUAGAAAGUCCCAUCAGAAAGAAUGCAAUUCCAUUAAUACAAUACCUGUAGCUUGUCUUAGUCAUGGGAAGGCUUUAUAAGGCUAAAUAAAAAUUCAUGAGAACUAGCAAUAUUUAUUAAAAUUAGCUCAGGUUUGUUGGUACAGAAAUUAAGCUCUGGCAUGGCAACUCCAUUGUCACUUCUAAUUUAGAUCAUUUUUUUAAUUCAUUAGUCUUACUCUGUGUAUACCCUUUCCUCUUAAUGAGAGCAGAAAGAGAAUUUACAGCCUACUGAGUUAGCCAUCAUAAUUGUAAGCUUGUUUCAGGCCCUCUCAAACCACAGGUUUUGUUAAUAUUAUAAGCCAAUUUAGCAACAAAGCCCUGAUAAUAAAUAUAGUUCAGUAGCGGUUUUAAAGCAGAGGUAAAAUGAUCAGACCUUUAUGUAUUUGUUCUGUGUAUAACAGCACAGAAGGUUUUGGUGCAGCUGGAUCAUAUGCUGCCCACAUUUGCUGAUUGUCAUGGUGAUUUACUGUUAUAACCAAAACUUUCCUGCUUCUGCACACUAAUAAUUGUAGGGGAUUUGUAACAUUUAUGGCCAAAAUCAUUGGGAAUCUACUUUAAGGUUAUAUCUGUGCCAGUAAAUUUAAUGAGCGUCAUGGAACUUCCAUGGAUGUUUAAACCCAAUCAUCGGUAGUUUAAAAUGGUUAGAAUUAUCCUUUACACAUUUUUUUUCAUGUUCCCACAUCGUUCUCAGGGGCUAGCACAGGCCAGUGGCCACUUGCAGUUUGCAUGUAGCCACCCUAGUUUGGAAACUAAGAAAAUAUAAUAGUGUGGAUCUGAUGCAUUGUGUGCCAGUGAGCCUCAGUGGCAGGGAAGGAUCCUGGGAACAGAAGAUGUUUGUAUAGUCCCAAUAGUCUGACCGUCAGAAACAUUGUACAAUAUGUGCAAUAUUUUUCUUUAAAUGGGUUUGUAGUUGCAGACCUAACUCUUUGUAUAUUCACGUAACAAACAUAAGCUUAUUCCUUCAACAAGGAAGGAGGGGAGAAGGAAGGAGUGGCAGUCGGCAGUCUAACUGCUGGUGUCUUGGUUAAGAGGCUCUACCAUGUCAUCCUCACUUGCCCAUCUUACCACUGAUUGCUUUAUGGCUCUCAGUACCAUUGGGAGUGGAUUACGUUAGACUAAAAUAUUGAGUGGCUCUUUACUUUUCAGGACAAAACCAUGAAGUUCAUUGGGAAUGUUAAUUUAAAAUUAUUUUAGCUAUAUAAUAAAAUUUACUUUUAAUGCUUGUGGGAGAAGAGGGCUGCUGAAUGUUUUAGGCAGGCAAGGUUAAUGUAAGCUGCUUGCUGUAUCUGUAUAGCUCUUCAGAACUUUUUUUGUUUAGAAUAAAAAAAGACUGUUCUCUUGAACUGAGAAGCAGUUUCUGUAUAAACUUGUUCUCUUCUGCUUAUUUCUGUAUAUGAGAGAAAACCAAAGAAUAGUAUGCAAUGUACUGAUUUUUUUAUAUUUCCUCUAUAACAAUAUUGUUUCUUUAUUCCUGCUCUUACAGGUGAAACAAGCUUUUCAUUUUAUGUAUCAUAGGGUAUGAGUAUAGUCAUGAUCCUGCCUCACAGAUGAUGAUUAUUAAUUUCUCAAAUUUUC